rnacentral:SRP_RNA from 1 species
GCCAGAUGCGGUGGUGCAUGCCUAUAGUCCCAGCUAUCCAGGAGGCUGAGGUGGGAGCACUGCUUAGCCCAGGAGUUCUUGGCUGUAAUAUGCAUGCCAGUCAGGUGUCUGCACUAUGUUUGGCAUCAGUAUAGUGACCUCCUGCGAGCGUGGGACCACCAGGUUGCCUAAGGAGGGGUGAACUAUCCCAGGCUGGAAAUGAAGCAGGUAAAAACUCCUGUGCUAGUUAGCAGUGGGAUUGUGCCUGUGAAUAGUCACUGCACUCCAACCUGGGCAACACAGUGAGACCCCGUCUCU